rnacentral:rRNA from 1 species
GGAGGGUGCAAGCGUUAUCCGGAUUCACUGGGUUUAAAGGGUGCGUAGGCGGGUUGGUAAGUCCGUGGUGAAAUCUCCAAGCUUAACUUGGAAACUGCCGUGGAUACUAUCAAUCUUGAAUAUCGUGGAGGUAAGCGGAAUAUGUCAUGUAGCGGUGAAAUGCUUAGAUAUGACAUAGAACACCAAUUGCGUAGGCAGCUUACUACACGAUCAUUGACGCUGAGGCACGAAAGCGUGGGGAGCAAACAGGAUUAGAUACCCUGGUAGUCCACGCCCUAAACGAUGGAUACUCGACAUCAGCGAUACACUGUUGGUGUCUGAGCGAAAGCAUUAAGUAUCCCACCUGGGAAGUACGAUCGCAAGAUUG